GACGAACGCUGGCGGCGUGCCUAAUACAUGCAAGUCGAACGAACCGCGACUAAGUGCUUGCACUAAGUCAAGGUGAGUGGCGAACGGGUGAGUAACACGUGGGUAACCUACCUCAUAGUGGGGGAUAACAGUCGGAAACGACUGCUAAUACCGCAUAGGACAUAGGAUCACAUGAUCCAGUGAGGAAAGGUGGCGCAAGCUAUCGCUAAGAGAUGGACCCGCGGUGCAUUAGCUAGUUGGUAGGGUAAAGGCCUACCAAGGCGAUGAUGCAUAGCCGACCUGAGAGGGUGAUCGGCCACAUUGGGACUGAGACGCGGCCCAAACUCCUACGGGAGGCAGCAGUAGGGAAUCUUCCGCAAUGGACGCAAGUCUGACGGAGCAACGCCGCGUGAGUGAAGAAGGUCUUCGGAUCGUAAAGCUCUGUUGUUAGAGAAGAACAGCGCAUAGAGUAACUGCGAUGCGUGUGACGGUAUCUAACCAGAAAGCCACGGCUAACUACGG
rnacentral:rRNA from 1 species